rnacentral:lncRNA from 1 species
CACCUUUGGAGUAACACAUGAUGUCCUUUAUCAGUAUGGCUGAUCCUUCGCCCUUAUUUCCUCUACUUGUUGAUAUGUGUCUGCUGGAACAAGCUGGUUCAAUGGUGCCUUCAGCAAAGUCGCCGAGGCUGGUCAUGUUGCCGGCUCAAGAACAACAGAAAAGUUCCAGAUAGUUGUGUCAAAUAUAUCAGCCAAAGUAAGUCAAUAAUAAAUUUUACUUGGUAAACUAAUGACCAGAAAGAUAAUCAGUGCCAUUAAAGACAUGUAGAAACACUAAAGAGCUGCAUUCUGCACUUACUGUGUAGUCCAAACUGCGAUGAAGCAGAACUUUAUUUGCCUUAUGGUCAAUAGGCAUGCCCAGUAAACAUACCUUUGAAACAUCCUCUUGCUGCUGCCAGUGCACACAUGAUUCUCAAGUUUGGGAGCUAACCGAUCAUAGUUCUAGCGUUAGGUGCUACUCUCUUCCCCUGAACAUUAGCAAGCCAACAUCAUAUUCUUGCCUGCAGAUAGUAGAGCCAGUCCUGAUCCCUGAUUAGAAUUCAAUCAUUUAGAUAAACUCCCAAUUAAGAGACAAACACCCAGCAAGGGAUAUAGAGUCGAGUGCUGGAACAAUUGGUCCAUUCAGUCAUAGUUUUUUUUUCUAUUCACUCUAGGACGUAUAUGUUUUGAGAUAUUUGCAGAAUAUAUGAUGUUGUGAUAACAAUAGUGCUGUUGCUCGCUGCUUUUUUUAGCUUUUGGCAACAUAAGUGGCAUUUCGAAAGGUAAUUUCUUUUUUGCAUAGCUCCACGAGUAAAUGUGCUUUUGAAAAGUCUUUCUUUAGUGAAUCUACAUGCACAUUUUCUCAUUCUUUGCGGUAUAUUAUUUCAAAUAGUGUGGUUUAUUUGCAAGCUUACUGUGUCACAACAUUGUUUGCUGCUUCUCAUUGUCCAAUUCAUCUUUUUUUUUCCUCUUGCUGUAAUAGGGACCUGCUGUCGUUGCUUGAGCUUGUUGAGUUUGUUUUGGGAGCUCCUCUUCCUGGGGAAAAUCUGUUGGAAACCUUGAGCAAGCAUCUAAUGUUGGCUGUGUCAUCAAGCUUUGGCUUGUAACUGUGUAUUUCUCUCCUUCUCAUCUUCUUCUUUGAGGAGGUUUAUUUUCAGGGAGUCUUGACAGAUUUGGUAGAUGAUCUAAAUUUUCUUUAGAAUUUUAGAACCACUAUCCUUUUUAGUGUCGGUGUUCAAUUGAUUAUAGAUGAUAGUGACAUUUUGGACCAUGGUCCUGGUUCGGUGUGGUUUCAUGAUUGUCAUACAGUACACUAAAUUUUCUGAGUAUUGCACAAGCCUGAGUAAAUAUGGGUCGAGGUAAUCUAACCUUAUACUACAUAUUCAAUUAAUACACGUUCUUAUUGAAAAAGAUAUACCAAAUACCAUUUUGUAAUGGAUAGCACACUUUUAAAUAAUGGACAUAACAAUUAACGCUUUCCUUGUAGUGAAGAACAACUGUGUUUGCACAUACAAUUUUCACUUAAUUUGAGGACAUGUCCAAUUUUUCUCCCGUUGCAACGCACGGGCAUAUGUGCUAG